GUUCCACACGUACCCAUCCCGAACACGACCGUUAAGCCCUCCAGCGCCGAUGGUACUUGGACCGCAGGGUCCUGGGAGAGUAGGACGCCGCCAAGC
rnacentral:rRNA from 1 species